CCUACGGGAGGCAGCAGUGAGGAAUAUUGGUCAAUGGGCUUACGCCUGAACCAGCCAAGUCGCGUGAGGGAAGACUGCCCUAUGGGUUGUAAACCUCUUUUGUCAGGGAGCAACGCCGGCUACGUGUAGCCGGACUGAGAGUACCUGAAGAAAAAGCAUCGGCUAACUCCGUGCCAGCAGCCGCGGUAAUACGGAGGAUGCGAGCGUUAUCCGGAUUUAUUGGGUUAAAAGGGUGCGUAGGCGGAAUGCCAAGUCAGCGGUAAAAUCGCGGGGCUCAACCUCGCUCCGCCGUUGAAACUGGCGUUCUGGAGUGGGUGAGAAGUAUGCGGAAUGCGUGGUGUAGCGGUGAAAUGCAUAGAUAUCACGCAGAACUCCGAUUGCGAAGGCAGCAUACCGGCGCUCAACUGACGCUCAUGCACGAAAGUGUGGGUAUCGAACAGGAUUAGAUACCCUGGUAGUC
rnacentral:rRNA from 1 species